rnacentral:rRNA from 1 species
UACGAGGGGGGCGAGCGUUGUUCGGAUUCAUUGGGCGUAAAGGGUGCGUAGGUGGCUAGGUAAGUCGGAUGUGAAAUCCCGGGGCUCAACCCCGGAACUGCAUUCGAUACUGCCUGGCUAGAGUACUGGAGAGGAGAUUGGAAUUUACGGUGUAGCAGUGAAAUGCGUAGAUAUCGUAAGGAAGACCAGUGGCGAAGGCGGAUCUCUGGACAGUUACUGACACUGAGGCACGAAGGCCAGGGGAGCAAACGGG